rnacentral:rRNA from 1 species
AUUGAACGCUGGCGGCAGGCCUAACACAUGCAAGUCGAGCGGAUGAGUGGAGCUUGCUCCAUGAUUCAGCGGCGGACGGGUGAGUAAUGCCUAGGAAUCUGCCUGGUAGUGGGGGACAACGUUUCGAAAGGAACGCUAAUACCGCAUACGUCCUACGGGAGAAAGUGGGGGAUCUUCGGACCUCACGCUAUCAGAUGAGCCUAGGUCGGAUUAGCUAGUUGGUGAGGUAAAGGCUCACCAAGGCGACGAUCCGUAACUGGUCUGAGAGGAUGAUCAGUCACACUGGAACUGAGACACGGUCCAGACUCCUACGGGAGGCAGCAGUGGGGAAUAUUGGACAAUGGGCGAAAGCCUGAUCCAGCCAUGCCGCGUGUGUGAAGAAGGUCUUCGGAUUGUAAAGCACUUUAAGUUGGGAGGAAGGGCAGUAAGUUAAUACCUUGCUGUUUUGACGUUACCAACAGAAUAAGCACCGGCUAACUUCGUGCCAGCAGCCGCGGUAAUACGAAGGGUGCAAGCGUUAAUCGGAAUUACUGGGCGUAAAGCGCGCGUAGGUGGUUCGUUAAGUUGGAUGUGAAAGCCCCGGGCUCAACCUGGGAACUGCAUCCAAAACUGGCGAGCUAGAGUAUGGCAGAGGGUGGUGGAAUUUCCUGUGUAGCGGUGAAAUGCGUAGAUAUAGGAAGGAACACCAGUGG